AAGACCUUGUGCUUUUGGAGCGGCCGAUGCCUGAUUAGCUAGUUGGUAGGGUAAAGGCCUACCAAGGCUACGAUCAGUAGUUGGUCUGAGAGGACGACCAGCCACACUGGGACUGAGACACGGCCCAGACUCCUACGGGAGGCAGCAGUGGGGAAUCUUGGACAAUGGGCGAAAGCCUGAUCCAGCAAUGCCGCGUGAGUGAAGAAGGCCUUCGGGUUGUAAAGCUCUUUCAGUCGAGAAGAAAAAGUUGUGACUAAUAAUCACAAUUCAUGACGGUACCGACAGAAGAAGCACCGGCUAACUACGUGCCAGCAGCCGCGGUAAUACGUAGGGUGCAAGCGUUAAUCGGAAUUACUGGGCGUAAAGGGUGCGCAGGCGGCUCUGUAAGUCAGAUGUGAAAUCCCCGGGCUUAACCUGGGAAAUU
rnacentral:rRNA from 1 species